UGUUUGAAGAGAUGAGAGAAGAAUGGGAAGCCAAGUUGAGGCAGCAUGACAGCAUCAGUUUACAACAUAAAAGUCAACCACAAGUCAUGUAACUCAUGGUCAGGGCUUUAGCCAGGAUUAGCUUAGUAACAGCUGAGAUGAAAUAUUGCCCUGUAGUCGUAAACAUUUGGAUAGUUGAAAUCGAAGAAUUAAACAUAAUGUUGCUAUUUGAGCUAACCGCUGUGUAUAUAAGGGAUGUUAUGUUAUUUAACAACCCCCCUCAGCAGUUUACUGAUGAGCUGUGGCACGUAGUGGUGUUUUGUCUUAACCAUCGUCAAGGAUGCAGGUGAACGUCCUACUGUAUCCUGUACUUUUAUUAAUUCCCAUCAUGUGCAGUAAGUAGCAGAUGAAUGAAGUCAAAACAAAGAAUGAAGUAAAAAGAUACAUUAACAUGGGGUUAAGAAGACUAUUUAGAUAGGCUUUAAGGUAUUAGUGAUUUCUCUUGAUUGCGACUUUCUGAUCUGAAGAACCACAUGUAGCUUAAUAGUCAUCUCUACUUAAUGCAGAAUUUUAGUAGUUGAAUCUUUUGGAAUUCUUGUAUUGCCUCUUUCAGACCUGCAUGUGUGGUGGCCUUAUGAUAUUUGUGAUUUUAAAAACUGUCAGGUGUGUAACUAAGAUUGACCCCAGCUUUGUGAUUGGAAACUUGCUUUGCUAAAUGAGUUGUACUUAUAUAUUUAGCAAAAUUGUUUUACUGAAGGGCCUGUUGCAUCCUUAGGAAGUAGGUUCUCCUAUUUUAACAGACUUACCAUACAAAAUGAUUGCCUUGACUCUUCAUUGAAAACACUGGUAGUGUGCACAACACUUUCUAUCCAUUUGUAGAUCUACUUUUAUGUUUUCUGUAGUUGAUUGAUUUGAAUUUUAUUUUUGUCCAUCAUUAAAUCCUUGGGAAUUCUGAUGUAUGAUUUUUUCUAUGUUUGCCUUUCUGGGAUUAUAUUGAAAAUUAUGCUUUUUCAUAAUCUUUCUAAAUGUUGAAGUAUAAAUGUUUGGUUUAACAUAAUAAUGUAAAAGUGAAGGUUGUUUUUUUAUUAUUUGUUUGUUUUUUUUAGGCUGUAUCUUCAUUGGCGUUCUUACCUUGCUGGUUGGUCUGCUUUGAGAAUUAAACCACAUCUCCUGAGCAUCUCACAUCUCACAUGUUCUGUUACAGACUGAACCACAAACCUAUAUCUGCAUUUAAAUCACUUUAAGUGACUCUCAGAAGUUCUUCUAAUUCUUAAAAGCAUUAAAGACACUAUCCAUAGGUAUAUAACAAAUAUACACUGAGGAUAAAAAUACAGCUGGAUAAUAAACUAUGAACUGCACAAGAAAUAUAGAUUUUUAAAAAGCAGACUUCAGAUACAAAAAAUGGUAAGUCUACAUAGUCUGUUUUGCAGUUGAUGACAUCACAACAGGUAGAAGAUUCAAACUGGUGUGUUGGCAUUAGUGCAGCACUGUGAGAGGAGAGUAACUCGUGGCAGAUUUCAACCCAGAUUCUGAAGCAGCUGAGUUGCAUUUGAGAUCCACAGAGUUACUCAGUAUAUGUUCCAGCCUUGCUCCAUUUUGCAGGGAUUCAGAGAGGUCUUAAAAAGUCUUAAAUCUACAUUUUUUAAAAGGUUUUCCAAACACCCCGGUUAGCAGCACAAGGUUGUGAAUUACAGUUCAUUAGGUCUCUUUUAUUGUUAUUUUGUUUCCCUUACUUGUUUUAUUAUUUGUUUGUUUGACACAUUUGGACAUUACCCUUAACCUCUGACCAAAACACAAAGUUCUUGAUCCCAUGCAAUAAUGGAUCCUGUUGGAAGUCAUGUAAAUCUAAAUACUGGAUACCAGAACUGAAUUAAUAACAUUUCUUUGGAAAUAAAAGCUGAGGCUGAGUAGCAUGUAAAAGAGCUUGCUUAAAUUUUUAGCUUGUUUCCUUUUAAGCUGUGAGCUCGCUGCAUUAUUUGUGAAGAUACUUGUGAAAUUUAUAUAAUCAUAAUAGUAUGGUUGGACAAUAAAUCAAUAACAAUGUGUAUCACCAGAGACAAGUGAUUAAUAUCAAUAGAUAUGUCUGAAAAAAUGUUUUGCCUACGUUUGAUCCAGAACCGCAAAGCCUUAUGGAUAAUGUAGGCAGAGGUUUGCCAUUUGAGACACCUUAGUUGACUCAACUUAUCAGGGCCAGUUGAGCAAUGCUGGUGCAUCAACUAUCUCAUUCACUAUUUAGUUACCUAGAAACAACCUGUUGACUAACUUGCACAGCAGCAGUUUAAGGUUUUGCCACCAUGGCUCAUAUGCUUAAUAAUAAUGGUAAUAAUAAAAACAACAACAAUAACAAUAGCGUGGAGUGAAAACGGGAUAAAACAGGAAGAAUCACAGCAUCAGUUUGGCAAUAUUCAAGACAUAAAAAAUCAAUAACUAUUAAUAUGACUGAUAUGAAACGCUUAUGUCAUGAAAUAGUUUUCAGCCACACAGUCCUUAAGAUGAUCUAUAAAAGUAUUAUAUUAAACCUCUUGAAGCUUUCAGGGUGUGUGUUUGUAUGUUAUUAGAGGCAUUUGCAUGUAUGGAAGCCUAGAGGUUAGAUUUGAUCUUGAUCUUAAGUAAAGGAUUACUGCAAAAUGCCAAAACAAAUAGAAUAAAAUGGCCAAGGCAUGUUCAAGGGAACAACUGAUUAGAAAGUAAAUUUAAUUGUUUUUAUUUUCAGGAAAGUACGGCUAUCAGAUGUGAUGUCGGUUUCCCAGCUGACCUAACACUGAUAAAAAAAAAAGAAAGUCCCUUCAUUAAUUUGCAAAUAACCUUUAUGCAAAGUGUGCAAGCUAAUAAAAUGAUUGGUUUUCUAUUGUUGUGCUUUAUCUUUGGCCAACCAUUGUCCCUUUGAAUAAUUGGUAGCCAUGGAUUUUGCCUGUUUUAUUUUAUUUUUUUCCCUUGGUCAGCAGGUACUAGUUUUGUCCCCAAGAUCAAUUACCUUGGUAACAAAACCAGAGAGAGGGGGAGGCAGGGGGAAGAAGAGGAAAGAAGGAGAGAUGAAGAGACACAAGCGGACAGUGAGAGAGAGAGAGCGCUUUGUGCCCACAAUGGCGACUGUAGGUAUGCUAAAUACCUCUGGUUCCUUAUCCGGGAACUACCUCUUCCUCUGCUAUUGGGCCACUGGGUCACGUGGUUAAAGUAACUUUACAGGGCUGCUCGCAAGUAGGAGGGCUUUAUGGAGCAGAAAAACGACAAAGCUAGAAAAAUUAUUUUCCACUCCAGAAAUUAAUGAUCAUGAGCUCGUAUUUGAUGGAGUCUAACUACAUUGAUCCGAAAUUUCCUCCAUGCGAGGAAUAUUCGCAAAACAACUACAUCCCCGAGCACAGUCCAGAAUAUUACAGCCGCGCAAGGGACACUGGCUACCAGCAUCACCACCAGGAGUUAUACCCUCCUCCGCGGGCGAGCUACCAAGAGCGCCAGUAUAACUGUGCAAGCAUCCCCGAGCCCGACACGCCGCGGGGACACGGAAUACCCCACUCCGCGCACCUAUUGACGGGAAAGGGCCAGCCUGCGUCAUGUGAGACCCCACAGUUGUCCAUGUCCCCCGCCACCCCGCCGGCCGCAGCCUCCGCCUGCAACCAAGCCACCCCGGAGCAUCCCAACAGCACAGCCUCCUCCAAACAGCCCGUGGUGUACCCGUGGAUGAAGAAAAUUCACGUCAGCACUGUGAACUCUGGUUACAAUGGGACGGAGCCAAAGCGGUCUAGAACAGCUUACACCCGGCAGCAGGUCUUGGAAUUGGAGAAGGAAUUCCACUAUAACCGGUAUUUAACCCGACGGAGGCGCAUUGAGAUCGCGCACACGCUGGUGCUCUCCGAGCGGCAGAUUAAAAUCUGGUUUCAGAACCGCAGGAUGAAAUGGAAAAAGGAUCACCGGCUGCCGAACACCAAAGUGAGAUCCUCCUCCUCUUCCUCGUCCUCCUCCUCCGGGUCCAACACAGGCUCUGCGGCCGGCGGAGUAGCCGCUGUCUCGGCCACCAACACUGGGGCCCCAGACGAACUCACAGGAGCACAGCAUGGCGAGGAUAUUACCAGGUUAUAAAACCACGAUCCGUCCACCUGGGACUGUCAAGCCGAGCAGAAGAAAGUUACUGAACUUGAAUAACAAUAUUAUCCCUUGAUAAGGAGAAGCCGGAAUUUGUGCAAAAAAUGUCUGAAGAAAUAUCUCAGAAGCUUCUUCGGGCACCCCAAGUUCCCAGCAGGAUUAGUUUCCAACUCCAGAGCUCUGCCAUUGGAGGACUGGCACACGUGACCAAGGUACCCCCCUCUGUUCCAGGUUGAACCCACAUGAACUUUCCAAGUGCCCUCUGGAGCCUGUGGUUUCCAGCCAUGCCAAAGACAAGCUGGAGCCGAAUAGCAG